rnacentral:rRNA from 1 species
AAUAUUGCACAAUGGGGGAAACCCUGAUGCAGCGACGCCGCGCGAGUGAAGAAGUAUUUCGGUAUGUAAAGCUCUAUCAGCAGGGAAGCUAAUGACGGUACCUGACUGCGAAGCCCCGGCUAACUCCGUGCCAGCAGCCGCGGUAAUACGGAGGGGGUAAGCGUUAUCCGGAUUUACUGGGUGUAAAGGGAGCGUAGGUGGUUCGGUAAGUCAGAUGUGAAAGGCCGGGGCUCAACCCCGGGACUGCAUUUGAAACUAUCGAACUAGAGUGUAGGAGAGGUAAGUGGAAUUCCUAGUGUAGCGGUGAAAUGCGUAGAUAUUAGGAGGAACACCAGUGGAGAAGGCGGCUUACUGGACUAUAACUGACACUGAGGCUCGAAAGCGUGGGGAGCAAACAG